CCGUUUUUUCUGCCACAUUCGGAGAACAACAAACAGGCGACGAAUGGUUCAGUGAGGCAUUCCUUUCUGCCUUGGACUUCUCUAUCAGAUGAUCAAACAACCCGAUAUCUUCCUUUGAAUGUUUCUCGAUGCUAGCUAUGGCAUGGUUCUUCUUUUUCUUCUCGUUCGGCUUCUUUACCUUGUUGUUGUCAGAACUCUGCAAACUUACAUUUGUCUUGUAAAACUCAUCAUCGCGUUUAGCAAGCAUACCGGGCUCUGUUGGUUGCAGUUUCCCUGCAAAA